GACGAACGCUGGCGGCGUGCUUAACACAUGCAAGUCGAACGGAAAGGCCCUGCUUGCAGGGUCCUCGAGUGGCAAACGGGUGAGUAACACGUGGGUGAUCUGCCCUGCACUUCGGGAUAAGCCUGGGAAACUGGGUCUAAUACCGGAUAGGAGCCAUUUUUAGUGUGAUGGUUGGAAAGUUUUUUCGGUGUAGGAUGAGCUCGCGGCCUAUCAGCUUGUUGGUGGGGUAAUGGCCUACCAAGGCGGCGACGGGUAGCCGGCCUGAGAGGGUGGACGGCCACAUUGGGACUGAGAUACGGCCCAGACUCCUACGGGAGGCAGCAGUGGGGAAUAUUGCACAAUGGGCGCAAGCCUGAUGCAGCGACGCCGCGUGGGGGAUGACGGCCUUCGGGUUGUAAACUCCUUUCGCUAGGGACGAAGCUUUUUGUGACGGUACCUAGAUAAGAAGAACCGGCUAACUACGUG
rnacentral:rRNA from 1 species